rnacentral:rRNA from 2 species
UACAGAGGGUGCGAGCGUUAAUCGGAUUUACUGGGCGUAAAGGGCGCGUAGGCGGUGAGAUGUGUGUGAUGUGAAAGCCCCGGGCUCAACCUGGGAAGUGCAUCGCAAACUGUCUGACUGGAGUAUAUGAGAGGGUGGCGGAAUUUCCGGUGUAGCGGUGAAAUGCGUAGAGAUCGGAAGGAACGUCGAUGGCGAAGGCAGCCACCUGGCAUAAUACUGACGCUGAGGCGCGAAAGCGUGGGGAUCGAACAGG